CGGGGAUGCCUAACGGUGUGUUCUGAGGAGCGGCCAGCGGUGCGAUGGAGCGGGCCAGGGACCAUUUACACCUGAGACGGACCACAGAACAGCACGUACCAGAGGUAGAAGUCCAAGUCAAACGGAAAAGAACAGCUUCAGUGAGCAACCAGGAGUGUCACCUGUAUCCAAGGCGAUCUCAGCAGCAGCAGCAAGUACCUGUGGUGGAUUUCCAGGCGGAACUGGGACAGGCUUUCUUAGCUGAGACACCAAGAGGUGGUUAAAGCAGUAUUGGAACACCCAGGUAGCUGAUUCCAAGAGAGAAAACAAAACAAAACAGUGUGUUUGAAUCAGCUGACAAUGUAAUAAAACUAUUAAUCUAUGAUCUUUCAAUGUUACCUAGAUUUAUUUACAGUGUGUCUUCUUGUGUUGGUUGCUUAGAUUUUUAGGAAAACGCUAUUAAUUUUGAUUUAAUACUUUAUUUUUCCUUUCUGACUUUUUAAAAAUUAAGAUCUCAAUCCAAAGGGUUUAAUAUAUACUUUUUAGAAACUAUGAGAGGAAAGGGGUUUAUAGAUGAGUUUUCUUCUAGAUUUUCUUUAUUUCUAUUUUGAAAUAUAACCCCCUCAACUCAAAUUAAUUAGGCCUGUUUAUGGCCAUCAUUUUGAAUUUUAA